GCGCGAGCGGUCAGCAUCCGGAAUCUGGUCCCUGCAGGCGUGGGGUUCCACGUGGGAGGAGACUUGAAUGAAAAUUCUGUGGAGAAUCUUCAGCAGGAAACACUUCAGGAUCUGUUACAUGAGCUUUCCUUCUGGCUAGUUUUGGAAGGCAUGGCCAGUACAAUUACUGGAAGUCAGGAUUGUAUUGUGAAUCAUCGAGGGGAAAUGGAUGGGGAGCCUGAACUAGAUAUUUCCCCUUGUCAACACUGGGGAGAAGCAUCUUCUCCUAUUUCCAGAAACAGGGACAGUGUGAUGACUCUUCAAAGUGAUUGUUUCAAAAACAUUGAAAGUGAAACAUAUUUGCCUUUGAAAGUCUCAAGCCAAAUAGACACACAAUACUCUUCAGUGAAGUUCUGUAAGAAUGAGCCUCGGGGUCAUCAGGAAAGCAAACGUCUCUUUGUAAUGGAAGAAAGCACUGAGAGAAAAGUGAUAAAGGGGGAAAGUUGUUCAGGGAACCUUCAAGUUAAACUGGUGUCUGAUAAACAAGAACUGGCCUCGCCAUUGUUAAAUGGUGAGGCAACUUGCCAGAAUGGCCAGUUAGAAGAAUCUUCGGAUCCCAUUGACUGUAACUGCAAAGACAUUCAUGGAUGGAAAUCACAGGUGGUCAGUUGUAGUCAUCAGAGAGCUCACACAGAGGAGAAACCCUGUGACCAUAAUAACUG
rnacentral:sRNA from 1 species